GAGAGAUGAGCAUUGGUGGGGUAUGCCGAGAUUUUAACUACAUGCAGGUACGCCGCCCGCUCCGAGGCAAGGGCCCGCAGCCGCCGCGAAUCAUCGCUUUCUGCCCGAGCUUAGUGCUCAACAGCCCUCGGAGGUUUCCUCCUCGCCGCGCGGAGCAAACACGCGAUCCUUACGCACGGUACGCGCUUUCACUACCCCUAGUGCACAUGUGACCGACGGGGAGCACACACGACUACACUACCAAGCUUGUGCCGAAAGUCCCGACUCGAAAACAGUAAUUAACUAACUCUACGCUUUUGGAUACACUUCGUAGGAUCAGCACCUUAAAAAACAGCCCAAAUAUUAAACGCAGCUUUAAAUAGCCCCAAAAAGGGGGGCAAUUCGUGGAAAUGACGUUGAUCACACAUAUUUUUCACGCGUUACUUGGAAUUUGCCAAAUUAAAGUAGGAUACAAAUGAGAGAGAUUAAGAAAAAGGGAAAAAUAGUCUACAAGCGGAAGUGACAAAAAAUGACGACUGUAUUAUUUUAAGGGCAGAACGAAAAAAUCCUAUAAUACUAACCUGGUACCGAAUGUGUAACAGCUGACAUCUGUAUCAUAAACCAUGCGUUUUAUUCUACAACUAUAUUAUUAAAAACACGAAACACUAACUUAGAUUUGUGUUAAAAUCAAAAUUUACAGGCAUUGACUAAAUUAAACUAGACUGUUUACAACACAACGGCCGCCAUGUUAGAAAAACUGUUAGGGUGGGAGAGUCUGCCAUUUUAUUAAGGGUAGUUCACAGCCAACUUAGUGCAGAGUUGCCCUUUAAUUCUUAUUUUAACUACAACCGUAAUUCCGCAACCGAUUUUCGGUCAAUCACCGAAACGACCUAAAUUACGCUCGGACUUUUUUUUAGGUGUUUUAGGGGAACUCUGUGUUUACUUUUUGUUAAACGGUUCUGGUUUUUUAGGUGUGAAGCGACAUAGCCGCGCCAUCUAUUGAUAUGGACUGGAAGAGUUUCACCAAGCGAAGACACCUAUCCACAUCUACCUCCUGUUACCAGUGAUAUUGAAUUCUCUUGAGUUGAUGGCGCUGUGGUUCACUUUUCAGAAAUUUAUCUGAUUAUGUUUACUGUAUUUUUAUUUAAAUUUUCAAUAAAGUAAAAUCCUCUUGA